GACAUAGGUUGCGAACGUUAUCCGGAAUUAUUGGGCGUAAAGGAUGCGUAGAUGGUUUGAUAAGUUAUCAGUGGCAAAUCGGGGCUCAACCUCGUGGAAGCUGGUAAUACUGUCAUACUCGAGUGCAGGAGAAGUUAACGGAACUCUAUAUGGAGCGGUAAAAUGUGACGAUAUAUAGAAGAACACCAAUAAGGCGAAGGCAGUUAACUAUUCUGUUACUGACAUUGAGGCAUGAAAGCGUGGGGAGCAAAACGGAUUAGAUACCCGUGUAGUCCACGCCCUAAACGAUGAGUGCUAGAUAUUGGGAACUAGAUUCUCAGUGUCGCUAGUUAACACGGUAAGCACUCCGCCUGGGUAGUACGAUCGCAAGGUUGAA
rnacentral:rRNA from 1 species